rnacentral:rRNA from 1 species
CCUACGGGUGGCAGCAGUGAGGAAUAUUGGUCAAUGGGCGCGAGCCUGAACCAGCCAAGUCGCGUGAAGGAUGACUGCCCUACGGGUUGUAAACUUCUUUUAUCAAGGAAUAAAGUGCGGCACGUGUGCGCUUUUGUAUGUACUUUAUGAAUAAGGAUCGGCUAACUCCGUGCCCGCCGACGCGGUAAUACGGAGGAUUCGAGGGUUAUCCGGUUUUAUUGGGUUUAAAGGGUUCGUCGGGGGGUUUUUAAGUCAGGGGUAAAAGUCGGGGGCUAAACCGAAGAAUGGCAUUGGAACUGGGAGGCUUGAGUUGGAGUGAGGUAGGCGGAAUUCGCGGUGUAGCGGUGAAA